rnacentral:ncRNA from 1 species
UUAAACACAAAGAACGGGCUAAGAGUUAGGGCUAACUUUUAGAGAGGGGUUCUCGAUAGGCUGAAAGGAACUCUAGUUAGGAAUAAUUCAUUCUGCCACCCGGGAGUGGUGAGGUCGAAAUAGUAGUAGACCUUGACGUUAUAACUACGUUAUAGUUAUAAGGGGUUAAGAAUUACUUUUUUAUAAUUCUUGAUAACUAGAGUGGUACCGCGGGUAAUCUAUGCUCUCGUCUCUAUA